UACGGAGGGUGCAAGCGUUAUCCGGAUUUACUGGGUUUAAAGGGUGCGUAGGUGGGUAGGUAAGUCAGUGGUGAAAUCUUCGAGCUUAACUCGGAAACUGCCAUUGAUACUAUUUAUCUUGAAUACUCUGGAGGUAAGCGGAAUAUGUCAUGUAGCGGUGAAAUGCUUAGAUAUGACAUAGAACACCAAUUGCGAAGGCAGCUGGCUACACGAAUAUUGACACUGAGGCACGAAAGCGUGGGGAUCAAACAGG
rnacentral:rRNA from 1 species